AGUAAAUAAACUUGGUUUAAAACAUCUUCAUACGUGCCCGCGAAGGCAGGGAGAUGUUGUAAGGGAAUACCUGUUUAAGGCUGGCGUUUGGUUCCGGAGUGUAGCGGCAUUUGAAGAAACUUAGGGUGUAUGCUUAAAAAUACUGCGAAGACUGGAUCUUCGGUAGCAUGGAUCGCUAUUUUAAAAAUACAUUUAGUGUUUAAUUUGUAGAACUCCAUAUAUACGACUACUUUAGGAACUGAUUUUCUUUUAAACUAAGUAACUGAGAUCAAGUAAUUUUGCCCAGUGUCUCAAAUGAACUGUGAUUUUUUUUCCAGUUACUAAAACAAUGCUGUGUGUUUUUUUUUCAGAGUCUAUCUACACUAUGAAAAGAUGGGAAAUUUCUUCCUGAAAGUGUCUGAAGGGCUAAAAAUGCUGAUAUAUUUGUGCUGUUAAACGUUUCAUUUUGCAUGUUAUUGUGAAAACAAAAGUAACGAAUUACUGGGUCGGUAGAGCUAUGCACUUCACCUGUUAGGAGUUAAAAUUAUUGCUGAUAAAUGGAUUAUAUCAAAGAAAGGCUAGGCAGAGUGAUUACAAAAGACAAAAACAUGGUAGAAACAUCACCCAGAUGUAUGCAGAUGACAAUUACAAAAAGAGUUUUAUGAAGAAUGAUCUUAUAUAUGUCAUGCUGCAGAUAAAUCAGAUGAGUAGGUUUGUUUCUUUUCUUUUCUUUUUUUUUUUUUUUUUUUUUUUUUUUUUUUUUUGUCUUUUUGCCUUUUUUAGGGCCGCUCCCGUGGCAUGUGGAGGUUCCCAGGCUAGGGGUUGAAUUGGGGCUGCAGCCACCAGUCUACACCACAGCCACAGCCACAACAGCACAGGAUCUGAGCCAUGUCUGCAACCUACACCACAGCUCACGGCAACGCUGGAUCCUUAACCCACUGAGCAAGGGAAGGGAUCGAACCCGCAACCUCAUGGUUCCUAGUCAGAUUCGUUAACCACUGCGCCACCACGGGAACUCCAAUUCUUGAGUCUUUUGACUAAGGAAAUCUUUCCCUGAUGCCUCUAGUCUCAAACAAUUGUUUCUCUCUCAGUCUCUCUCUUUUUUUUUUUGGUUUUUUGGUUUUGGGUUUUUUUUUGCCUUGCUCACAGCAUGCAGAAGAUCCCGCAUGCCAGGGAUUAAAGUACCUGGGCCAGGGAUCAAACCAGUUCCACAGCAGUGACAAUGGCAGAUCCUUAAACGACUAGGGCACCAGAGAAACUCUACAAACAAUUGAGUUUCUGAAAGCAUUAUAUUUUAACUUCUUAGAAGGAAAAGAAAAGAGAGAAAGGAGAGAGAAAAGUAGGGACUUUAUAGUAUUUGCCUCACAAAUUGUCAGUUGAUGGUUUUUUUAUUUUUUAUUU
rnacentral:lncRNA from 9 species